GUGGGGAAUCUUCCGCAAUGGACGAAAGUCUGACGGAGCGACGCCGCGUGAGUGAAGAAGGCCUUCGGGUCGUAAAGCUCUGUCAUCAGGGACGAACGGCCGGUGGAGUGGAAAGCCACCGGAUUGACGGUACCUGAGAAGGAAGCCACGGCUAACUACGUGCCAGCAGCCGCGGUAAUACGUAGGUGGCAAGCGUUGUCCGCAAUUAUUGGGCGUAAAGCGCGCGCAGGUGGGAUCUUAAGUCCAUUUUUAAAGUUCGGAGCUCAACUCCGUGAUGGGAUGGAAACUGGGAUUCUUGAGUACCGGAGAGGAAAGCGGAAUUCCCCGUGUAGUGGUGAAAUGCGUAGAUAUGGGGAGGAACACCAGUGGCGAAGGCGGCUUUCUGGACGGUGUCUGACACUGAGGCGCGAAAGCCAGGGGAGCGAACGGGAUUAGAUACCCGUGUAGUCC
rnacentral:rRNA from 1 species